GAUAGAUAGGAAGAAAUAGUUGUCAUUUCUUCUAUCGAUCAUGAAAAGGGAAGUCCGGUGAAAUUCCGGCGCGGUCCCGCCACUGUAAAUGGGAGCUCCUUAAGCAAUACCACUAUCUCCGGAUGGGAAGGUUUUAAGGGGUGUUGAGCAUGAGCCAGGAGACCUGCCUAUUUUUUUACACCGAA
rnacentral:ncRNA from 2 species